GACGUACUGCGCGAACGUUAUUCGGAAUUACUGGGCGUAAAGGGCUCGUAGGCGGCCAACUAAGUCAGACGUGAAAUCCCUCAGCUUAACUGGGGAACUGCGUCUGAUACUGGAUGGCUUGGAUUCGGGAGAGGAAUGCGGAAUUCCAGGUGUAGCGGUGAAAUGCGUAGAUAUCUGGAGGAAUACCGGUGGCGAAGGCGGCAUCCUGGACCGACAUUGACGCUGAGGAGCGAAAGCCAGGGGAGCAAACGGG
rnacentral:rRNA from 1 species